GAGCCCAUACCGGGGGAAUGGUGGGAUUUUUUGACAGAUGUGAAACUCCGAUUCACACUGCCACCAUCCACCAUCCGUCAAAAACAGCUGAUGCCAAUAACAAGUUCAUUAAAUUUGCGCGGAAGAUUUAUUAAUUCUUGGUUCUUAUAAUGGAUGAUGAAGAUAUAGCAAUUAUUUCGGCUGUGGUUCAACAGCAAAAUAUUUUCUUGCACCAACUAAUAAUGUUGCUGUCAAUGAAUAAUGAUGAUGACGAUGAUGACUUUAACAUUGACGAGGAUGAGAUGACCCAGAUGACUGCCAUAAAAACACAAAAGCCAGGAAGAUUAUAGUCGUUUAAGCGGUUCGGGACAUUUUGGAGAAAGAUGUACCAGAAAACAACGAGGCGUUUUUCAAAGAGAGUUUCCGAAUGGAGAGGCCCUGCUUUGAUAUUUUAGUGAAUCGGCUUGAAGUGCUGCGAAAGAAGGACACCAACUGCCGAGCUGCAAUUCCUUUGGAAAAGCGCAUCGCCAUUGCGCUAUACACUUUGGGCUCGUCCUCUCAGUACCGAACAGUUGGCAGGCUUUUCGGUGUAGCUCCAAACAGUGUGUGUAAUAUCCUGCACGAGUUUUGCAGAGCACUUAUAGAUACAGAUUUACAUAUGUAAAUAUCGGCUCUGCAGGAAGGUGCAAUGACUCGAUGAUAUACCAGAAGUCAAGCCUUGCAAAACAUAUCGAAGCAUCGGCAUUACUCCAAGAGAAAGCUAAGGAAAUAAGCGGAGUAAACGUCCCUGUAAUGCUUAUCGGGGACUCGGCAUUUAGGUUUUCUAAAAAGCUGAUGAAACCUUACCCGUUUUCCACAGUCGCCUCUUUGGAAUAGCGCACGUUUAACUACAACCUUUCCAAAGCUAGGCCAGUGGUGGAAAAUGCAUUUGGGCAUUUAAAAGCCAGAUUUCGAAUAUUCGGAAAAGGUCUUGAUAGCCACCACAAAAAUAAUAGCGCCAUAAUAAUGAGCUGUUGUAUUUUACACAAUAUAUUAAAUAUGCACAACA